rnacentral:rRNA from 1 species
CUACGGGAGGCAGCAGUUGGGAAUCUUGCACAAUGGGGGAAACCCUGAUGCAGCGACGCCGCGUGGAGGAUGAAGGAUCUAGGUCUGUAAACUCCUUUUGCAGGGAAAGACUUAGGACGGUACCCUGCGAAUAAGCCCCGGCUAACUACGUGCCAGCAGCCGCGGUAAGACGUAGGGGGCGAGCGUUGUCCGGAUUUACUGGGCGUAAAGAGCGCGUAGGCGGCCUGUUAAGUGAGAACUGAAAUCUCCAGAGCUCAACUCGGAAACUGGUUUUCAUACUGGCAGGCUAGAGGGAUGCAGAGGUAAGUAGAAUCCCUGGUGUAGCGGUGACAUGCAUUGAUAUCAGGAGGAAUACCCGUGGCGAAGGCGGCUUACUGGGCAUCAUCUGACGCUGAGGCGCGAAAGCGUGGGUAGCAAACAGGAUUAGAAACCCGUGUAGUCC